rnacentral:rRNA from 1 species
UAACAACCUGGAAACAGAUGCUAAUACCGGAUAACAACAGAUGAUGCCUAUCAACUGUUUAAAAGAUGGUUCUGUUAUCACUCUUGGAUGGACCUGCGGUGCAUUAGCUAGUUGGUAGGGUAACGGCCUACCAAGGCGAUGAUGCAUAGCCGAGUUGAGAGACUGAUCGGCCACAUUGGGACUGAGACACGGCCCAAACUCCUACGGGAGGCAGCAGGG